AUACGUAGGGGGCGAGCGUUGUCCGGAAUGAUUGGGCGUAAAGGGCGCGUAGGCGGCGCGGUAAGUCUGGAGUGAAAGUCCUGGUUUCAAGGGGGGAAUUGCUUUGGAUACUGCCGCGCUUGAGUGCAGGAGAGGUUAUCGGAAUUCCCGGUGUAGCGGUGAAAUGCGUAGAGAUCGGGAGGAACACCAGUGGCGAAGGCGGGUAACUGGACUGCAACUGACGCUGAGGCGCGAAAGUGUGGGGAGCAAACAGGAUUAGAUACCCUGGUAGUCCACACUGUAAACGAUGAAUGCUAGGUGUAAGAGGUAUCGACCCCUUUUGUGCCGGAGUCAACACAAUAAGCAUUCCGCCUGGGGAGUACGGCCGCAAGGUUGAAACUCAAAUGAAUUGACGGGG
rnacentral:rRNA from 1 species